UGUGGGAGCGGGCUUGCCCGCGAUGGCGUCGGGUCAGUCAACAUUGAUAUUGAAUGCAAUGCCGCCAUCGCGGGCAAGCCCGCUCCCACA
rnacentral:misc_RNA from 1 species